UACGUAGGUGGCUAGCGUUGUCCGGAAUCAUUGGGCGUAAAGCGCGUGUAGGCGGCUCGGUAAGUCCGCUGUGAAAGUCGGGGGCUCAACCCUCGAAUGCCGGUGGAUACUGUCGGGCUAGAGUGCGGAAGAGGCGAGUGGAAUUCCUGGUGUAGCGGUGAAAUGCGCAGAUAUCAGGAGGAACACCAAUUGCGAAGGCAGCUCGCUGGGACGUUACUGACGCUGAGACGCGAAAGCGUGGGGAGCAAACAGG
rnacentral:rRNA from 1 species